GUAAUCGCGGAUCAGCAUGCCGCGGUGAAUACGUUCCCGGGCCUUGUACACACCGCCCGUCACACCAUGAGAGUCGGGAACACCCGAAGUCCGUAGCCUAACAGCAAUGGGGCGCGGCCGAAGGUGGGUUCGAUAAUUGGGGUGAAGUCGUAACAAGGUACC
rnacentral:rRNA from 1 species